UACGUAGGGGGCAAGCGUUGUCCGGGUUUAUUGGGCGUAAAGAGCUCGUAGGCGGUUUGGUAAGUCGGAUGUGAAAUCUCCAGGCUCAACCUGGAGGGGUCAUUCGAUACUGCCAUGACUAGAGUUCGGUAGGGGAGUGUGGAAUUCCUGGUGGAGCGGUGUAAUGCGCAGAUAUCAGGAGGAACACCCGUAGCGAAGGCGGCACUCUGGGCCGACACUGACGCUGAGGAGCGAAAGCGUGGGGAGCAAACAGG
rnacentral:rRNA from 1 species